UCUAAUAUGGCAGAUAAGUGCAAUGGACUUAAACCCCAUAUAUAAAGUAAUCCUCUUUUAUUAGAA
rnacentral:tRNA from 1 species